ACACAUCAUUAUGUCCAUUGCAGAUGUUCAAGUGCUACACAAUGUGUAGCACUUGAACAUCUGCAAUGGACAUAACAAUGCCGU
rnacentral:pre_miRNA from 1 species